UACGUAGGGUGCAAGCGUUAAUCGGAAUUACUGGGCGUAAAGCGUGCGCAGGCGGUUAUGCAAGACAGAGGUGAAAUCCCCGGGCUCAACCUGGGAACUGCCUUUGUGACUGCAUAGCUAGAGUACGGUAGAGGGGGAUGGAAUUCCGCGUGUAGCAGUGAAAUGCGUAGAUAUGCGGAGGAACACCGAUGGCGAAGGCAGCCUCCUGGGCCAGCACUGACGCUCAUGCACGAAAGCGUGGGGAGCAAACAGG
rnacentral:rRNA from 1 species